GACGAACGCUGGCGGCGUGCUUAACACAUGCAAGUCGAACGAAGAUGCGCGAGCUUGCUGGCUUGGAUCUGUGGCGAAGGGGUGAGUGUCACGUGAGCAACCUCCACCAGUCUCAGGGAUAUGCGCUGGAAACAGCGUCUCUUACUGGAUACGAUACUGGCCCGCGUGGGGAUCGUUUGGAAAAUUAGUCGGUUUGGGCUGGGCUGGCGGCCUACGAGCUUGUUGGUGAGGUAGGGGCUCACAAAGGCGACGACGGGUAGCCGGCCUGAGAGGCCGACCGGCCACACUGGGACUGAGACACGGCCCAGACUCGUACGGGAGGCAGCAGUGGGGAAUAUUGCACAGUGGGCGAAAGCCUGAGGCAGCGACGCCGCGUGAGGGAUGCCGGCCUUCGGGUUGUGAACCUCUGUCAGCAGGGAAGAAGCGAUAGUGACGGUACCUGAAGAAGAAGCACCGGCUAACUACGUG
rnacentral:rRNA from 1 species